UGCAAUUUAGUUUUAAAAAAUCUAUUGAUUG
rnacentral:piRNA from 1 species